rnacentral:misc_RNA from 1 species
AAGUCGUAACAAGGUUUCCGUAGGUGAACCUGCGGAAGGAUCAUUACCAAAUCCAAAAUCCUUCAACCCCUUGUGAACUAUGAUUUAAUUUAUUGUUUGUCUUUGGGGAGUGUAAUUGAAAAUAAAAUUUUGUUUGAAAGAAUAGAAUUUUAUUAAUAUUUACUCCCCAAAAGAGUUUCCUCCCUUCCACUUUCGGGUGGUAGGGAAAAAAAACUCACCAUGUUUAAACUACUUUUUAUAACCUUUUUUUUGGAAUGCUUUUAUUUUUACUAAUAAAAGACAACUUUUAACGGUGGAUCUCUUGGCUCGU